CCACAUCGACGGGGAGGUUUGGCACCUCGAUGUCGGCUCAUCACAUCCUGGGGCUGUAGUAGGUCCCAAGGGUUGGGCUGUUCGCCCAUUAAAGUGGGACGCGAGCUGGGUUCAGAACGUCGUGAGACAGUUCGGUCCCUAUCCGUCGCAGGCGUAGGAAAUUUGAGAAGACCUGUCCUUAGUACGAGAGGACCGGGAUGGACGUACCUCUGGUGUACCAGUUGUCCUGCCAAGGGCAUGGCUGGGUAGCUAUGUACGGAAUGGAUAAGCGCUGAAAGCAUCUAAGCGCGAAGCCAACUUCAAGAUAAGAUUUCCCACCGCAAGGGUAAGACCCCAGAAAGACUAUCUGGUUGAUAGGUCGAAGGUGUAAGUGCAGCAAUGUAUUUAGCUUAUCGAUACUAAUAGGUCGAGGACUUGACCAAU
rnacentral:rRNA from 1 species